rnacentral:rRNA from 1 species
CCUACGGGUGGCAGCAGUGAGGAAUAUUGGUCAAUGGCCGGAAGGCUGAACCAGCCAAGCCGCGUGAAGGACGAAGGUGCCAAGCAUUGUAAACUUCUUUUGUCAAGGGACAAAAUCAGGCUCGAGAGCCUGACUGAGGGUACUUGACGAAAAAGCAUCGGCUAACUCCGUGCCAGCAGCCGCGGUAAUACGGAGGAUGCGAGCGUUAUCCGGAUUUAUUGGGUUUAAAGGGUGCGUAGGCGGACUGUUAAGUCAGCGGUAAAAGGCCGGGGCUCAACCCCGGCGAGCCGUUGAAACUGGCUGUCGUGAGAUGUCGAGAGAUAUGCGGAAAGUGCAGGGUAGCGGUGAGA